ACCUGGGUGGCACAAAUGGUUAAGCACUCAGCUAUUAACCGAAAAGUUGGUAGUUCAAAUCUACCCAAAGGUG
rnacentral:tRNA from 1 species